rnacentral:rRNA from 1 species
UACAGAGGGGGCAAGCGUUGUUCGGAAUUACUGGGCGUAAAGGGCGCGUAGGCGGCCGCCUAAGUCAGACGUGAAAUCCCUCGGCUCAACCGGGGAACUGCGUCUGAUACUGGGUGGCUUGAAUCCGGGAGAGGGAUGCGGAAUUCCAGGUGUAGCGGUGAAAUGCGUAGAUAUCGGGAGGAACACCGGUGGCGAAGGCGGCCCCCUGGUUGGAUACUGACGCUGAGACGCGAAAGCGUGGGGAGCAAACAGG